AGCAUCAUACCAAAGAUCUCCCUUUGUCAGGUAGUGAAGAACUCUCAGGAAGCGACUGGCAUACAAGUGACGUACUACGCAACUGCUGCUAUGCUGUGUCAUCCCCCGGGGAAGGUGAUUGGAGGCUAGGGCACUUUUCUUGGUGAGGCUGGACCAGACCAUGGCAGUGUGAUGUUCCGUUAGGGGCUGCCCUCUACCUCAACGACAAGGGACAUGAUGCUGAGAGCACCCAAGGCUGGUCUCCUGGGACGUUCAUACGGUGGCCCUGGUUUCGGUGACCUCACCCGGAUGUUAAGUCAAUCUCAGUUGGAACACCUUGCCCCUGGCCUGCAGAUGCUACAGGAAUGGGGACAUAACUGCUGCUUCGGCAAACCAAAUAAUCCUAUACAAGAGGCCGAAUAGGCAGAGGCUAGACAGCAAGAAAGUGGUUGUCCACACUGAGCAGAUAGCUGCUGAUAUUGACUAUGUUGGCAGAUGCUACCAGGGAUGUUGAUGUUGGGUUCAUGAUGAUGCUCACACCAUCUAAAGAACACAAUGAUGACAUUUUGCCAUGGUAACAGCACGAAGGACGACCAUGGAGGAAGGAACACGCUCGCCUCGGAGUGGAAUCUUGAUAUCAUGCAAUUUAUUUUGGACAUCUUAUCAUCCCGCCUUUCUAUGAGAUUUCAUUUUUGUUCAGCCAUUUAUGGUUACUCUGAUAUUUUUAAAUAGUCGAAUGUGAGCAAACUGAUUCAGCUUUUUGGCUUUUUAAUGCUGUCUUUCUUUGAAACUAGUUGUUCAUUUGCUUUCGAUCGUGGUGCAUUUCUUCAAAUUUAGCUUGGCUGCUUCCUCAUAGGCUCACUCAUGGCUUACAAAGCAAUUUCCAAACUGAAAGAAUUGCAUUUACGAAUUAUGAAGAUAAGCUAUACUUAACACGUGUUUAAUAUUUGCUUGAACAUUUUUUGAAAGUCACGGCUCUUAAUACACACCAGAAAGCUUUUUUUUUUACAUUUUCUGAGUGCAGUAAACUUAUAUUUCUGUACAGUGUCUCGACACGAAACAGUAGUAGUACAUUAUCAUUAAUUUAGUUAUGCUUUGCCACUGUUCCAGUCAAUCCCCACAAUGUGCGUUUGCUAUUGUAAACUUGAAUAAAAUUGGCGAACUCUUUAAAUCUAGAUUUUAUUUGUAUUAGCAUUUGAAUAAAGCUAUUUCAGUGUUUGGUAGUUGAAACUAAACACCUCUGAGUGUGAACUUGGUAA